rnacentral:lncRNA from 1 species
UGUAUUGAUAUUAGCAUGCAUGAUUGUAAAGUGUUUCGUUAGGCUUUUUAUCUUUGAGAAAUUUCUGUUUGUUCCCCCAUCUAGUUUGAAAAGACAUGAGAGGAUCACUUCCUGUGGAUGAUAGUGUACCAUCUGACGAGAGUGGUGAUGCGAAUUAUUGUAGGGGUCACCAUUGGAAAAGUACGGUCGUGGCCAUAGUUAACAUGUAGGACCACUGUGGCUAGCACGAUCGUGGUCAUAGAUCGUGCAUGGUUUGGCAAGGUGUAAAUGUGUUA